AUCUGAUGGUGACGUCACUUCGCGACAGCCAAUAGCUACUUUCCUUACUGAGGAGUCGGCAACACUGUGUGGCUGUAGAAGAAGCUAACGCGUUCGUGUUCAUGUGAAUCUAUCUUUAAUAAUGCAGUCAGCAGAAGUGGGACACAUCGCCCCCGUGGAUCUAGAAGAUGAAGGAUCUGAAGAUGAGGGAUUCCUGAAGAAAAUAAUAAAAACUCAAGACGAUGAAGAUGAAAGUCUUUUCAGUGAGGUACCAUCAAUCCAUGUGGAAUACAUCACCUCUGAUGGACACCUCUCCUCAGUGUACCAACAGCAUGGAGGUUUCCAGCCUCUGAAAGAGGAACCUGAAGA